CUGAGUCCCUGGCAGGUCUUUUGCAAAGCAGCUGAACGUUGAUUGGUGCAGGCGAAUCCACUGUUCCCAUUCCAAAUACCAUACCAAAAUGUGCACUGGCAUGCACUUUGAUGUCAACUCAUUCAGGACUCCUGUCUUGUUAGAGUCUCCAAACGAAAGAGAAGGCCUAGGGGAUCCUAGCAUAUGCAUUGGGCUUGUCCUUGAGCCUUUCUAUAAAAUGACGGCCAUCCCUGUGAGCAAUAUGCAGACAUUGUGUCUCAGCCGUCCUGCAGGUGGCGGCGCAGACACCAGCAGUACUGCCAGUAGAUCCAUCCAUGGAUCCAUAAGCUUAGCUGCAAAGCUUGCAGAUCUGACUCUAGAGUUGUCACACUGUCACGAUGGCAGUAGCAUCCUGCACGCCCUGGAAUUGGCCUGUCAUGAUGACAGUAGCAUCUGCACGCCCGGGAAUUGGCCUGCAAGGUGCAACAGUCAUUUGGUUGAUGCGAAUGUAUUUCUCGUCAUUUUUACCAACAGUACUGGUGCUUGGUACAAGGAAGGUACAAGAGUCUCUGCCGCAGCAGUGGCAUGCCGUUCUUAUGCUGCCAGAUCUUGACUUCCAGAAUUCAGAGAAGUGGCUCAAUGCAAAGAAGCGCCCCGAUAUGAAGUGGUAAGCCAUUGAUGGUCACAUCAACACCUUCCUGCUUGCAACUCUGUACAGCUGCAGUGUGCGGAUGCACCUGAAGUUCCUUAAUCUAGACGUCUCAGGGUCCAGAGAUAUUAAACUGAGAGAUGCGCUUCAUGUUUGCGCUCCAAUUCGCUCCACAAGUAUUGGCUUGUCGUGCAAAAAUGUUCGCUCUCUUUCAUCAAAGUACUAGGCAUCGUGAUCCCUUUCCUCUUCUGUAUCGCUCAGUACGUCGGCUGGAUCGUCGUUUCUUCUCAAGGUGAGACCAAGAUCACGGAAGUUGAAUACAACUUUCGAGAUGUAUAUCACGCACGCACAUAGCAACACGAAAACUAGAAUACGCUCUGCAUUCUCUCCUAUAUUGGGCUCAAUCGAGUCCCCCAUGCCUCCAGCCCUGCUGAAAAGGUGAGAUCGGUUACCAGCGUAAUCUGCGGGAGAAAG
rnacentral:lncRNA from 1 species